GACGAACGCUGGCGGCGUGCCUAAUACAUGCAAGUCGAGCGGACAGAUGGGAGCUUGCUCCCUGAAGUCAGCGGCGGACGGGUGAGUAACACGUGGGCAACCUGCCUGUAAGACUGGGAUAACUUCGGGAAACCGGAGCUAAUACCGGAUACGUUCUUUCCUCGCAUGAGGAAAGAUGGAAAGAUGGUUUCGGCUAUCACUUACAGAUGGGCCCGCGGCGCAUUAGCUAGUUGGUGGGGUAAUGGCCCACCAAGGCGACGAUGCGUAGCCGACCUGCAAGGGUGAUCGGCCACACUGGGACUGAGACAAGGCCCAGACUCCUACGGGAGGCAGCAGUAGGGAAUCUUCCGCAAUGGACGAAAGUCUGACGGAGCAACGCCGCGUGAGCGAAGAAGGCCUUCGGGUCGUAAAGCUCUGUUGUCAGGGAAGAACAAGUGCCAGAGUAACUGCUGGCACCUUGACGGUACCUGACCAGAAAGCCACGGCUAACUACGUGCCAGCCGCCGCAGUAACAC
rnacentral:rRNA from 1 species